AUUUACAUUAAAAAGACAACAGAUAAAUAAAAAAAAAAAAGAACAGGGCGAAUGGGUAUAAUGGGCAAACAAGUACUAUUGUAAACAGACCAGGAUUUCUUUUAGAUUCCCACCACCUACUUAGAAUAGCAAAUGGUCAAUCCCUCCUAUGCAUAAAUAUAUUGAUACUAAUAUAGUCAUUAUGUCAAUGCCCGAAGAAACUGCCAGUUGAAUUUAUAAUAAGUUUUUAAAGUCAUGACGAGUUUGAACCUCCACUGUAACCAGAGAUUGUGAACCAUGAGCCCUAAAAAUGACACAUGCCUUCAAAUGACAAAAUUAAAAGAGCAUGCCCCUGCCAACGCCCCC
rnacentral:lncRNA from 1 species